GACGAACGCUGGCGGCGCGCUUAACACAUGCAAGUCGAACGGAAAGGCCUGCUUUCCCUUGUGGUUUGCGGGUACUCGAGUGGCGAACGGGUGAGUAACACGUGAGUGAUCUGCCCCCAACUUGGGUAUAAGCCUGGGAAACUGGGUCUAAUUCCCGAUAGUACUGCAGGGUGGUGCCUGUGGUGGAAAACGAUUUUCUAGUGGUUGGGGAUGAGCUCGCGGCCUAUCAGCUUGUUGGUGGGGUAAUGGCCUACCAAGGCGGCGACGGGUAGCCGGCCUGAGAGGGUGGACGGGCACAGUGGGACUGAGACAAGGCCCAGACGCCAACGGGAGGCAGCAGUGGGGAAUAAUGCACAAUGGGCGGAAGCCUGAUGCAGCGACGCCGCGUGGGGGAUGACGGCCUUGGGGUUGUAAACUCCUUGCGACCGAGAGGAAGCCACCUGGAUGGAAGGGUGGUGACGGUAGUGGUAGAAGAAGCACCGGCUAACUACGUG
rnacentral:rRNA from 1 species